rnacentral:rRNA from 1 species
AUUGAACGCUGGCGGCAUGCCUUACACAUGCAAGUCGAACGGCAAGCACGGGAGCAAUCCUGGUGGCGAGUGGCGAACGGGUGAGUAAUAUAUCCGGAACGUGCCCAGUCGUGGGGAUAACGUAGCGAAAGCUACGCUAAUACCGCAUACGAUCUAUGGAUGAAAGCGGGGGAUCGCAAGACCUCGCGCGAUUGGAGCGGCCGAUAUCAGAUUAGGUAGUUGGUGAGGUAAAGGCUCACCAAGCCGACGAUCUGUAGCUGGUCUGAGAGGACGACCAGCCACACUGGGACUGAGACACGGCCCAGACUCCUACGGGAGGUCCAGCCAGUGGGGAAUUUUGGACAAUGGCGCAAGCCUGAUCCAGCAACUGCCGCGUGCAGGAUGAAGG